rnacentral:lncRNA from 1 species
CAAAACCCAAGGAGGAGGAGGACACCUCAUGGAGUAUAGGACUUAGAUGCAAACAAGAUCUAUAUACUGCCUUGGAAUCUGGUGUAACUAGGAAGGCCUCAGAUGACCUCAUCAUAUCCUCCUCUCCUCAUCCUGCUCCCAUGGCUAAGGUCUCCCAGCCAAGCCAGACUUCUUAACCAAAGACCUCAGGUGUCCAUUUUUAAGAGCUACUCUGGAUUCAGGGAAAAGCCUGAGAAUGUUUGGUACAUGUCUGAGAACAUGGAACCAAGCAAAGAAAGUAGCAGCAGACAGCGAGGUGAACAUUUCCCGGUUCAAUCUCUGCCUAAACCUCUUGCAAUUCCUGUCAGGAGGUGACUGUGUGCAAAAGAACCAUGGCACAAGCAGAACCAGGAUGAGUGAAGAGGAGGUUGAUGUUGCUCAUUUCAGCAUUACAAACAACAAGACCCUAUGUGGCCAGGCAAAACCAAAAGAAAAUGUUGA